UACAGAGGUCCCGAGCGUUGUUCGGAUUCACUGGGCGUAAAGGGUGCGUAGGUGGCUUUGCAAGUCUGAUGUGAAAUCUCCGGGCUUAACCCGGAAAUGGCAUUAGAAGCUGUGAGGCUUGAGGCUUGGAGGGGGAACUGGAAUUCUCGGUGUAGCAGUGAAAUGCGUAGAGAUCGAGAGGAACACCAGUGGCGAAGGCGAGUUCCUGGACAAGUCCUGACACUGAGGCACGAAAGCCGGGGGAGCAAGCAGG
rnacentral:rRNA from 1 species